rnacentral:rRNA from 1 species
AGCGGCGAACGGGUGAGUAACACGUAGGUGAUCUGCCCAUCAGACGGGGACAACGAUUGGAAACGAUCGCUAAUACCGGAUAGGACGAAAGUUUAAAGGUGCUUCUGGCACCGCUGAUGGAUGAGCCUGCGGCGCAUUAGCUAGUUGGUAGGGUAAAGGCCUACCAAGGCGACGAUGCGUAGCCGACCUGAGAGGGUGAACGGCCACACUGGGACUGAGACACGGCCCAGACUCCUACGGGAGGCAGCAGUAGGGAAUCUUCGGCAAUGGGCGAAAGCCUGACCGAGCAACGCCGCGUGAAUGAUGAAGGCCUUCGGGUUGUAAAAUUCUGUUAUAAGGGAAGAACGACUUUAGUUGGAAAUGGCUAGAGUGUGACGGUACCUUAUGAGAAAGCCACGGCUAACUACGUGCCAGCAGCCGCGGUAAUACGUAGGUGGCGAGCGUUAUCCGGAAUUAUUGGGCGUAAAGAGCGCGCAGGUGGUUGAUUAAGUCUGAUGUGAAAGCCCACGGCUUAACCGUGGAGGGUCAUUGGAAACUGGUCGACUUGAGUGCAGAAGAGGGAAGUGGAAUUCCAUGUGUAGCGGUGAAAUGCGUAGAGAUAUGGAGGAACACCAGUGGCGAACGCGGCUUCCUGGUCUGUAACUGACACUGAGGCGCGAAAGCGUGGGGAGCAAACAGGAUUAGAUACCCUGGUAGUCCACGCCGUAAACGAUGAGUGCUAAGUGU